rnacentral:rRNA from 1 species
GAAUCUUCCGCAAUGGGCGAAAGCCUGACGGAGCGACACCGCGUGGAGGACGACGGCCUUUUGGCUGUAAACUCCUUUUCUGGGGGAAUAAAUGAUGAAGGUACCCCAGGAAUAAGCACCGGCUAACUCCGUGCCAGCAGCCGCGGUAAUACGUAGGGUGCAAGCGUUAUCCGGAAUCAUUGGGCGUAAAGCGUUCGUAGGUGGUUUAGAAAGUUUGUAGUUAAAUCUGGUCGCUCAACGAUCAACUCGCUACAAAAACUCCUAGACUAGAGAUUGGUAGAGGCAACUGGAAUUCCACAUGUAGGGGUAAAAUCCGUUGAUAUGUGGAGGAACACCAAAAGCGAAGGCAGGUUGCUGGGCCAUUUCUGACGCUGAGGAACGAAAGCGUGGGGAGCAAA